UGGGGGAUAUUGCACAAUGGGCGAAAGCCUGAUGCAGCGACGCCGCGUGGGGGAUGAAGGCCUUCGGGUUGUAAACUUCUUUUGCUCUGAACAAGGCAUGCUAAUGGGUGUGUUGAGUGUAGGGGUUGAUUAGCGCCGGCUAACUACGUGCCAGCAGCCGCGGUAAUACGUAGGGCGCGAGCGUUGUCCGGAAUUAUUGGGCGUAAAGGGCUUGUAGGUGGCUGGUUGCGUCUGUCGUGAAAGCUCAUGGCUUAACUGUGGGUUUGCGGUGGGUGCGGGCUGGCUUGAGUACAGUGGGGGAGACUGGAGUUCCUGGUGUGGCGGUGGAGUGCACAGAUAUCAGGAGGAGUGCCGGUGGCGUAGGCGAGUCUCUGGGCUGUUACUGACACUGAGGAGCGAAAGCAUAGGGAGCGAACAGA
rnacentral:rRNA from 1 species